CCUGUACUAUUAAUUUUUCACUCUUGUUUCCAAACAAGACAAGCUCUUUUACUGCUGCUGUAGGUAUGUUGUUUCUCUUCUAUUUUUUCUUUUAAAAAAUUUACAGUUGUGAUAUACAAUUUGAUUUUUCAUCCAUACUAUCCUUGAUGAGUUAAUAUUUCAUUGUUCUAAUUUUCAGGAAGUGAGUGGUGGGUUCAACAAUCUGGAAUAUUUGUACUCUUUCUAAGCUAGGUGCCUCUUAUUUUAACGAGACAUUUUAAAAUGGCACAACUUCCAGAAGAGGUGAUAAAUCCUGGCCCAGAGGAUAACUCUCUUUUGUACUUGCAAACCCAACAUAUUUCCGAACAUGUGUGGAAUGAUAAUGUUAACAGGGUCCUACACACUAGACGAGUCAUGCACGCUAAUCAAAUGAUUAACCCACCUAAUCAAAUAAUUGAAUAUCUUAUAUUAGCUGGAUUUUA